AUUGAACGCUGGCGGCAGGCCUAACACAUGCAAGUCGAGCGGAUGAAGGGAGCUUGCUCCUGGAUUCAGCGGCGGACGGGUGAGUAAUGCCUAGGAAUCUGCCUGGUAGUGGGGGAUAACGUCCGGAAACGGGCGCUAAUACCGCAUACGUCCUGAGGGAGAAAGUGGGGGAUCUUCGGACCUCACGCUAUCAGAUGAGCCUAGGUCGGAUUAGCUAGUUGGUGGGGUAAAGGCCUACCAAGGCGACGAUCCGUAACUGGUCUGAGAGGAUGAUCAGUCACACUUGAACUGAGACACGGUCCAGACUCCUACGGGAGGCCGCAGUGGGGAAUAUUGGACACAGGGCGAAAGCCUGAUCCAGCCAUGCCGCGUGUGUGAAGAAGUUCUUCGGAUUGUAAAGCACUUUAAGUUGGGAGGAAGUGCAGUAAGUUAAUACCUUGCUGUUUUGACGUUACCAACAGAAUAAGCACCGGCUAACUUCGUG
rnacentral:rRNA from 1 species